CAAAAACCCUCUCAGCUGCUGCGCAAGAUGCGAGAGCUUGGUAGAGGGAUGAUUACGGAUGGCGGACUGCGUAUUGAAUGGAUGAAGCAUCUACCCGCCCAAGUACGCGUUGUGCUCUCAGUUAACACCGAGUCGUCGCUGGAGACACUGGCGGCCAUGGCUGACAAGAUGGUAGAGUACUCAGAACCCGCCACAGCAAAGAUUGAAGCGGUAUCGGGAGAAACAAGCGACCCGGGGGUACCCACACAGUUGGAAAUAUUGGCAAAACAAAUUGAAAGGCUGACCUUGGAGGUUGCUGAACUGCGUGGACGGUCAAUGCAGCGUUACUCACGCAAGAGACGCCCUGAUCGUUCUCAUUCGAGACCUCGACAACGCAGUAAGUCGUCUACCAAACCUGGCAACUUUUACUUAUAACUUGUUGAUUUUUUACCGGAUUUCAAUAAUUCCUUCUGUGUUAUAAUUUAUUUUAUGUAAAUAUUUGAUAAUAGUAUAGAACAAAAAUGAGUCCGGCACCCUAUUGUUUUUUCAUCCAAUGUUUCACGUUGAAUUUCUUUCUUUCAAUUUUAAUGUUUUGGAUAACGCUUCUAUUAUAACUUUUAUUGCAAAUGAUAUACACCCAAAUGAACUGAAAAUGUGUAUAAAGUCGAGGUUCAAUCAGUACUUGAAAAAUCUGGUUUAGGCAAGUGUAGGAUCAUAUUCUUGAAAUCUACACAUGCAAUAUUUGGAAAACCAAAAAACAUCAGCCGCACUCACUGUUUCGGGUCCGUAUUGACCACUGUUUUAAAUCGUUUUCGUUUUGAUUAAAUGAAACGCAGAACUGGGUAUGCGUUGACAUUUUUUAUUCGAACUGAAUGAGGAUGGCAAGUUAAAGCUAAUCUCAGAUGGCGCUGCGUAUGCUUGUUCUCACUGGCGUCAGUUUGACAGUUUACGCCGCUUGUAAACAAAAGGAAUAAAAUCAUUUUGCGUUGGAAUUGAGCUAUUUAUCAGUGUAAUGGAUGUGACAAUGUAUUCUUCUUGGAGUCUACUUCAGUUAAAAGCUGAAUUAAAGAGACGAGGUGCGUCCGUUAAAGGAAGGAAAGCUGAUUUGGUGGAAAGGUAUUUUUGUUAUUAUAAUGUUUUCAGACACAUUUCUUUGAUAUGAUGCCGUGAUCUUGUUUUGUAACUGAUACUAUGCAAUCUUACAUAAACUAUACAUUAAGUUUUUAUGACUUGAUACCCAGUGAACCCAAUAAUAUUAUCCAAUUUUAAUUAUUAAAAUAUUCCACAAUUUAGUUUAAUAACUAUGCGAAAAUUAGUUAGGGACUAGAUAAUAAUGUUGGUCAUACUAGUUACAAAACUAGCUCUUGACAAGCUGAAGGUCUUGAAUGUAUUUAAUGUAGGCUUGUAGCUUUAUUUUGCUAUUGAAGUAUAUAUUAUGUAACUAAUUUUAGGAUAUUGUUUCAGAUUACAGUUGUAUGACAAGAAUUUCAACUUUACUACACUACUACUUUCACCAAAUCAAGAGCCCUCUAUGGAAUUUCCACCAGUGAUAAUGUAUCAUGACAUAAAUAGUGCCUCUAUGUUACCACCACUUCAAAGGCAUUAUCUGAGAUAUUAUUUUGAAAGGUUUAAUAAGAAAACUGACGCUGCAGAGAAGUUAUAAGAAGCAAAAUGUUUAUUACUUGCAAGAUCUGCUUUUGUGAAUGACAGUUUUUAUAUCAGAGGUUUUGUAAAAAAAAAACAUGAAGAAAUUACAAUAUCAAGUUGACAUCAAACUUGAUAGAAAUGGCAGUAUUGAAGAAUGCCAUUGUGAAUGUCCAGCAGGAGCCGGAAUUGAAGCUCAUUGUAAGCAUAUUGGUGUACUGUUGUUUGCUAUAUUACACAUGAAACAAGACAAAAUAAUGUUAACUACAGAGACAAAAACGCAGCAGUUGCUUUUCAUAAGCCAAGGAAAACAUUUUCUGGGACACCUGUUAAAGUUAAAGAUUUACCUAGAAGGUCUAGCAAAAAUGUAAUUUUUGAAGCAUACCCAAUGGGGGACAAUUAAUAAAAAUAAUUAUAAUUCAAGAAUCCGAAAUUUGAUCUUGAAUUUCAAGUCAAAUAUGCCCCUUAAACAACUGUUGAUACCAGCAAACCCUAUUGCGAUCCUACAAGACCAUGACUACCUAGAAAAAAACCAGGAACAAAUAAUUUUAGACAAACUUAAAUUAACAAAAAUAACUGAACAUGAAAUACUUAAUGUCUAUUGAAAUAAAAACUAGGAACCAAAUUAAAAACCCACUUUGGCAUGAACUUCGUAGUUGCAGAAUAACAGCCAGUGUUUUUCAUACGGUGUGUCACUUGAGGACACAAUCCUAACAGUCUUUAGCUAAACAACUAUUGCAAAAAAGAAAUUUACGUCAAGAGCCACAGCACAUGGCCUUAUGCAUGAAAAGACUGCCAUAAAAAAAUAUUCUGAAAUGUAUGAUCUGCAUCUAGUUCAAGGAGAUGAUAAAGAAAUUAGACAGUUUUUACAACAAUUGUAUGAAGCUUGAAAUUAUAAAUAAGUAUUUAUAUAAAGAUUAUUAUAAUGUAAUCAAUAAAAACAAUGAUUAAUAACA